AUAGAAAUAAAUUAUAAAAAAAUUAUUUUUAAAAAUAAAUUAUUAUUUAUUCUUUUUGUAUCAAGAUUAAAUUAAAUAAAAAAUUAAAUUAUAUAUUUAAAAUUAAUAAGAAUAAAAAAUUAAUUUAAAUUAAUAUGUAAAAAUUAUUUAAAAUUAAUUUUUAGAAAAGAAAUUUUAUUCAUUUAUUAGUAAAUAAUUUUAUAUUAGUUUAAUUGAAUUAAUAAUUUAUUUUUUGAAGUAAAUUAAUUUAUUAUAGAGUUAAGUUUAUAAUAUUAAAUAAAUUUUUAUAAUUUUUAAAAAUAAUAUUUAUAAUUAAUAAUUUUAAAAUAAAAUUUAUUAAUAAUUUUUUAUUUUCAUUAAAAAAUUUUUAAUUAUUAAAAUUAAUAUAAUAAUUUGUUUAAUAAAAUAAUUAAUUUAUUAAUAUUUAAAUAAGUAAUUUUAAAGAUAAAGAAUUAAUUUAAUGAAUUUAACAAAUUAAUUUUUAUUUGUUUAAUAAAAACAUAAUUUAAAGAAUUUAAUUUUAAAUAUAUUCUGCUCAAUGAUUAAAUUUAAUUUAUAAUUAGAUAGCUGCAGUAUAUUAACUGUACAAAGGUAGCAUAAUAAUUUGUAUUUUAAUUGAAUAAUGGAAUGAAUGAAUAAAUAAAAAAUUUAUUUUAUUAAAUUAAUUUAAUGAAUUUAAUUAUUUAGUAAAAAAGCUAAAUUUUUAUUAAAAGACUAAAAGACCCUAAAAAUUUUAUAUAUAAAUAGUAUAUUUAUUUGGGGUAAAUUAAAUAGAAUAAUUUAUUUAAAUUAAUAAUUUAUAAAAGUAAAUUAAAAUUACUUUAGGGAUAACAGGAUAAUUAAUUUAAUAGAUUAAAUUAAAAAAUUUAGAUUAUUACCUCGAUGUUGAAUUAAUUAAACUUAUUAAAAUAGAAAUUAAUAUAAGUAAGUUUGUUCAACUUUUAAUUAAUUACAUGAUUUGAGUUAAGAUCGAUGUAAAUUAGAUUGGUUUUUAUCUUUAAUUUUAAAUUAAAUUUAGUACGAAAGGAUUAAUUUAAUUUUUUAAUAUU
rnacentral:rRNA from 1 species